rnacentral:tRNA from 4 species
GCAUCAGUAACUCAGACGGUAGAGUGUCAGUUUGAAAAGCUGAAGGUCACUGGUUCGAUUCCAGUCUGAUGCACCA